rnacentral:rRNA from 1 species
GCUAGAGACUUAGCAGAGAUGCUUUGGUGCCUUCGGGAACUCUGAGACAGGUGCUGCAUGGCUGUCGUCAGCUCGUGUUGUGAAAUGUUGGGUUAAGUCCCGCAACGAGCGCAACCCUUAUCCUUUGUUGCCAGCGGUUCGGCCGGGAACUCAAAGGAGACUGCCAGUGAUAAACUGGAGGAAGGUGGGGAUGACGUCAAGUCAUCAUGGCCCUUACGAGUAGGGCUACACACGUGCUACAAUGGCAUAUACAAAGAGAAGCGACCUCGCGAGAGCAAGCGGACCUCAUAAAGUAUGUCGUAGUCCGGAUUGGAGUCUGCAACUCGACUCCAUGAAGUCGGAAUCGCUAGUAAUCGUAGAUCAGAAUGCUACGGUGAAUACGUUCCCGGGUCUUUAACACACCG